GAACACAACACAUCGCAGAAGUGUAGUCGAUCAGGACGUAAGCUGAAAAAACGAAGAAGUGUACCAGAACGUCAAUCAAAAGACCGUUUUCUAGUUUGCCCCAACUGUAAACCGGUCGAAGAUGGCGUUUUUCACGAUCCAAUUCAAUGGACAGGCAGAGUUCAUCGUACUUUCAAAAAGAAACAUGAAGAAUGGAAAUACCGUUCCAUAUGUACAUUCGAUCGACCGGUUCCAGAAGCAAAUCCAAAUCCACAACCAAGACAAAAGAAAAAGAGAUACAAGAAGCAGCUGGAACCGAAAACAACAGUUAUAUUCAAUCGCGACAUAAAUGCAGCGAGAAAUAUGAUUAAGAAGGGAUUGUAUAUGUUGAAUCAUCUGCCGAUGCCAAAUUGUUUCCGACCAUUCAGGCAUCAACUCCAUUAUUAUUUCAACAAUUAAAAUCAAAAAUUAAAAUUAUAAGCACGGACGUCUACGCGAACAUUCUCACAAUGGGAAUCUCAUUGUUUCAAACAAUGAUACCAAGACGUAGUAGUGGACGAUGCUAACAAGUACUAGAAAUAGUAACCCAAGGAAGCAAAAAUAAUUAUUUUUCAGUUAUUUCCAUUAUUGAAGGGAGUGAUUUACCCUAGGUAAUAUAUGUUAGUUCCAAGGAGUAUCCUUGUUAUGUGGCUGUGAAUAGUGGGGAUGGAACAAAACAAUAUUUCUAUCAUUCUGCUACCAAUGUGGCACAGUACGAGUUUACGGAACGUGCAAAAAACAUGGACGUUAAAGUUAGAAUUUAUUGUAAAAUUCUGAAUGAAGCUAAUAACAAUUUAUUGGGCAUUGAAUAUGCCGAAACCAAGGCAAAAUUUUGGUUUAUAGAUCACGCUUUUUAUGGAAAACUCAGUGAUGAUGCAACUAGUUAAAAAAUAAUAAUUUAUUUAUUGAAAUUGAAGUAAAUUAAAUUAUCGCAAUUUAUUAGUUGUAAUAAUACAUUUUUGCUAAUAUUAAAUUGAGUAAAUUGAUUGAAAGAUCGACUAAAUAAAAAGAAGUUUAUCUAUUCAAAGAAAAUGUCUAACUACACAACAUACUAACCUCAUUAAUAGUCAUAAAAGAAUUUGCCAAGAAUCAAAACAUAUUUAUACAUAUUUUGUUUAAUGUUUUUCUCUUAAACCAAUUUAUUUUGUUUCGAAUUCUAUUGAAAUAUUCAGAUAAAUCGUUCCAAAUUUAGGUCUUAACAAAUUUCUUCAACUUUCUAGAGUUUAAAUGACAAAUAUAAUACUUGUAUGGAUUCUUAGGCGCUGGGCAUACAUUUCAAUCGCUCGAAUGCCGCUUUUUCCAAACUCUCACGAUGGUCUGGAUGCGCAAUAUUGAUGAGAGCAUGUGCUCUUUGCCGUAACGUUUUGCCGAACAAAUAUGCGAUACCAAAUUCGGUAACAACAUAAUGAACAUGAGCCCGAGAUGUCACAAUACCGCCACCCAAUUUAACCGUUGGAACAAUUUUUGAUUCGUUACGUUUUGUAACUGAAGGCAAUGCUAUGAGGUGAAAAAAAAAAAAAAAAGAAAAUAUGAUAUGUUAUUGGUUAAUUAUUAUCAAUAUUAAUAAAAUGUUUUCCUAACCAAUAAUUGGUUUUCCCUUUCCAUCGAAACCCUCGGCAGCACCACGAAUGAAAUCAACCUGACCACCGAAUCCUGAAUACAUCCGUGUUCCGAUUGAGUCAGAGCAUACUUGACCAGUGAGAUCAACUUCAAUAGCCGAAUUGAUGGCAGUCAUUUUUGGAUUUUGUGCAAUUACUCCAACAUUGUUUACGUAGGCAAUAUCCAACAUUUCUGGAAAUGGCGGUGAAUAAGGAUAAAUGCUUUCAAAUACUUUGAUAUAAACCUACCAAUAAAUGGAUUGUUAUCAACAAAAUCAUAUAAUUUCUUCGUUCCGAUUAAAAAUGAGCCAACGAUACGGCCUUUAUGAAUGACUUUCUUUGCAUUUGUAACGCAUCCAUUUUUCACCAAGUCAACAACGCCAUCGGCAAACAUCUCUGAAUGUAUACCAAGGUCUUGAUGAUUAUGCAAAGCAGUUAAAACCGCAUCGGGAAUAUUUCCAAUUCCUGAGAAAAAGAGAAGUUAAUGAAUAACAUUUGAAAACGAUCAAGUAUUUAAAAAAAAAAAUCAUGAAUCAUUGUUUGUCGCAAAUCGAUUCGAAAGAUAACGAAAGCGGUCACCCAACCAAAAUGUGUAAUGCGACCACAUCCCUGCCGUUUAAGUUUUUCAUAUCCGGCUGAAUGAAUCGUUUUCUGCUAUCCAUUUUAAACCAAAAUCAUACCCAUUUGUAAAGUUGCACCAUCAUCGACCAGAUUCUCUGCAAUCAACUUAAUAAAAUAAAAAGAAGUUUAUUUAUUUAAAGAAAAUGUAUAACUACACAACAUACUAACCUGGCCGAUUUUGGUUUCCUGUUCAGUUUGCCCUUUUCCACCAUGCGAUGGUAGCGGCACAUCAAUAUGAGCGGCAAAAUCGAAAUGUGACUGAUGAAUAAUUGAAUCUCCGAAUGUACGUGGCAUUUGUUUGUUGAUUUGAGCUAUAAAAAAAUUGUGAGUUGUUUUAUUUGUUCAUUCUCCUCAUUAAAGUUGUCAAUCACAAAACUAAAAUAGCCAUCGAUGAUAAUCAACAUACCGACAAUCAAUUUGGAAUGUUGUAGAGCAGCUCGGACACAGUCAACGCUCGUUCCCAACGAACAGUAGCCAUGUUGAUCAGGUGGACUCACGGAAAUCAACGCAACGUCUGGUCGAUAAAUUUUUUGAUGGAAGAGUUUUGGAAUUUCAUGCAGAAAGAUUGGCACAGCGUCGGCACGUCCCUCUGAAACCGCUUUACGAACAUUUCCACCCAUGAAAAAUGAUACCGAACGGAACGUUUUCUCCAGCGAUGGGUCGGUGUAUUCGGCCAAACCUUCGGUGUGCAUCGAACAAAUCUGUACAUCACUCAAGUUAGCGGCUUUGCCAUGUUCAGCCAGCGCAUAAACCAAUUUUGUCGGAGUUGCGGCAGCUCCUUGAACAAAUACCGUAUCACCUAAAAAUAAAUGUUUGUUUACAAUUAUUUGAUUCACAAAUUCAUAAGCACUGAUUCAAUCAAAAUCUAAAAAAAGUGAUCUAUAUACGUUGUUUUACAUUUGCCGCGAUCAUGAUUCUCACUCAAAUUGCAUCGAACGUGAGAUACUUUGAGCGUAAACAUAAAUAUUGUAUUUUGCUUAUAAUCAGCGAUAAAUUGAGCAUGACGUUCGAUAAGUCAACUUUUUGUCUCAGUUUCAGCAUUUUGAUAAGUUUUUGUCGUCGUAAUUGCAUCAGUCGAACCCCGUGAAUCUGAUGUGAUUAAUGAAUUUUUAUAUUCAAGGUCCUUCCGCGUCAUAAUGUUUUUUUAUAAAGAAAAUGUAUUUCGAACUUAGACUAUAUUUAAAAAACGGUCACCCAAAGAAAUGUGCGCAAACAUUUUCACAAAUUAUUUUCAAUAAAAUUCUCAAUUAUAAUCAUAAGAAGAAUAUUUUAACAAUUUUGUUAGUUACUAGGCGUGAAUAGUUUAAAUCCAAGGAUUUCUAUUGUACCCUUGACCGCAGUACGGGUCCUCAUUUAGGGCUGUGCGGAAUAUAAAAGAACCCGUAGCGCUCGAUGUUUUCAGUUUAUUUCGGUUAGGAAUUGAUAUUAUUCAAUUAACUUUAAUACAGUGAAGCUAUCCGGCUAUAAUACAUAGAUUUGCAUAUCUCUACUCGCUUUGCCACUGGCUGUGUGUGUGUGCAUAUAGUAAACAGUGAGCCACAAGUGAAUCCAUACAUAAUAACAAGUUUUGAACAAUGCAAAGAUGUGAUAAAAAAUGUUUGACACAUUCAAACGUGGUAAAUGAACACAAUUUCAGAAACAUAGAAGAAUGACAGAGAAAGGAAAAACUACCGUCCGCGUAACUUAAAAAAACUGGAAUGAUCUGUUCUGAUGAAGUCAUUGUUUGAUUUCGCAUUGCAUAUUAUUUUAACACUGCUAAAUAAAUCGUAACAUGUUUUAUAUAAUAUUUUUUUUAUCUAAUCAACUGUUUCUAUGAUGAUUUUAAAAAUGUCACAACUUUGAAAAUUGGUUGAUCAUAGAAAGCGAAAAAAGCGCCAAGAAAAGUUCGCUUCAUUAGCAUAAGAAAGAGCAACAACAUUCAAUGGACAUACUUUACUAAUUGUGACGACUCGGUAAAUAUGCGGAAAACAAAACGUCAGAGCCGUCAGAGUAGUAUUCGUGAUUGUCUCCCUGGCAUUGCACAAGGCGAAUCGUAACACUUGUUCUGACUGUGAUUCACAAUUUAUUGACGAUAAUUAAGCACGAAAUGUAUAAAAAAUUAUACGACAACGGCUCAAACUACAAAAUAUAUGAUGAAACAAGUGCAAAUAUUUGCUUUCAACGAAUAUAACUUCUUGAAUUUCUUUAAAUAAAUCAACGAUCGGGUUGCAUCGUUUAAACAUACGUUCUGGUACUCUAUUUUGCAAAUUCACGGAACAAAGUUUAUGAAUAAAAACUUGGACCAAUGUUCAAUUUG